CGAGAGAGGCUCGACAGCAACAAUGACUGCUAAUCUUUGUAACCCUAGUUAAACCCCAGGGCUCACUCGCCC
rnacentral:tRNA from 1 species